rnacentral:rRNA from 1 species
GUGGGGAAUCUUGCGCAAUGGGCGAAAGCCUGACGCAGCCAUGCCGCGUGAAUGAUGAAGGUCUUAGGAUUGUAAAAUUCUUUCACCGGGGACGAUAAUGACGGUACCCGGAGAAGAAGCUCCGGCUAACUUCGUGCCAGCAGCCGCGGUAAUACGAAGGGGGCUAGCGUUGCUCGGAAUUACUGGGCGUAAAGGGCGCGUAGGCGGACAGCUUAGUCAGAGGUGAAAGCCCAGGGCUCAACCUUGGAAUUGCCUUUGAUACUGGCUGUCUUGAGUUUGGGAGAGGUGAGUGGAACUCCGAGUGUAGAGGUGAAAUUCGUAGAUAUUCAGAAGAACACCAGUGGCGAAGGCGACUCACUGGCCCAAUACUGACGCUGAGGCGCGAAAGCGUGGGGAGCAAACAGGAUUAGAUACCCCGGUAGUCC